rnacentral:misc_RNA from 1 species
AGGAACGAAUGUCUGCUCCAACUCCCCGCACCGGCAUUAUUGCCGGCUUCAACAAGGGUCAUGUGACGACCCGCCGCCCGCGCCAGCCGUCGCCGAACGACCGGUUUGCCGUACCCCACAAGCACCUGCGCGCUGUGAAAGCCAUCAUUGCGGACCUCGUCGGUCUUUCUCCCCUGGAGAAGCGCGUGCAGGAGUUUCUGCGUGUCGGCAAGGAGAAGCGUGCCUUGAAGUACUGCAAGAAGCGUCUUGGCGACUUUACUGCAGCCAAGAAGAAGCGUGCGAAGAUGGAGGAGGCGCUUCGCCAUGCGACCAAGAAGCACCACUAGGCGAGUGCGACGUCUUCCUGGCUCUUUCUUUUCCUUUUAGUUUCAUUUUCGUGAACGCAAGCAUAUCACACAAACACCCGCGAUGUCGACAAGCGUGUAUACGCAUACACACAUGUCGGUGUACGCCUCAUGUGCCCCCAUGGACGUCAGUCCGGGCCAUGCCUUCCCCCUCCCCCUCCAUCCCAACGCGUGUGCGAUGAGGUUUGAAGGGCACCUCGGAGUGCGGAAUGCGAGCGCAUCGGCCAAGCCAGGUGAUGCACCCCCUACCCUGUGCGAGACGCAUGGCUGCAGGUGUCUAUGCUCUUUUCCAGUUGCGCACAGCGGCAGCUGUCGCUGUAGGCUGGAGGAGAGUUCCUCUCCAUUAGCGGCGCGGCCGCAGGUGCACUGUCGCAGCAACCAGCACAAUCUCCUCUUAUUCAUUGAUCGUUUUCCCAUCUUUGCGCGUUUGUCUCGCUCCUUUCCCUCCUUCCUCCCUCCGCGUGCGGUCCUCGCACGCCUUUGUGUGCCACGCGCUCCUCCGUCACUCGCUGCCCAUUCCCUAACAACGCAG